rnacentral:lncRNA from 1 species
CCUGGAACCAUCAUAGUUCUGUCUCGCUUGUUUAAAAACAGAGAAGACACAUUGAGUCACUCACACUUUAGAAGAACUGUAAGUCUUAACUCUCAAAGUCAUUGUCUCUCAUUAGUGCAGAUGUUGCCUCUAGUAUUCAUUACAAUUUGUCUCCUAAAGGAGACUGCUGGUGAAGAUGUCAUAAAACCAGUCGUCACAGAGAAGCAUGUUUUGGAAGGAAAAGAUGUUACACUGAUCUGCAAAUACACUGAGACUGUUCGCAGUUUACAAUGGUAUCGUCAGUAUCCUGGAUCCAAACCUGAGAACCUCAUCACGUUCUAUGAGACCACUCCACAUAAAGAGACCACUCUCCGUCUGAACGCUGCGGCUGAUAAAACAGCCAAAAAUAUGAAUUUGACGAUCUCUUCUACAGAAGUGACAGACUCUGCCAUGUACUACUGUGCCCUGGUGCCCACAGUGACAGGAAACACAAGAACACUGUACAAAAACCCUCUUGUUAUUUAACAUUUAUCUUGCCACAGAAAGGUGAUUGGGUUUCUAUAUAUACGAUACACACACACACGACAUUAUACUUAACCAGUGGUUACCACACACUUUUUAAUUAUUAUUAUGAUUAUUAAAUCAGAUAAGAGAGAUUACAGUCAAGCAAGGCUUUUACCAGAAGGUGGAGCUCACAUUCAACUGAUUUCAGAACAGAGCACAUGCAAACUGAGUCAGUUAGGAGGAAACUGUUAGACCUGACUGAAAUAACUUUUUAUCUAAUUGAUGAUGUUGCUCCUUGUCCUCGUGAUAUUUUCCCUUUGUAAGGGUGAGUAAUACCUAAGAAUAAUUUCCAGAUUAUUGAUUUUGAAUGUGUUUAUGUUAAUAAACAAACUAUUUAUAUAUGCUCUUAAUUAGUCCAUGAAUUUUAAUGUUUUUAACUAAUUUAUUGAUAUUGUUUUAAACAGAUACUGUUGAUGCUGAAGUGAUAACAUCAUUCUUCACAAAGCAGGAUGUUUUGGCAGGAAGAGAUGUUACACUUUCCUGCAACUACAGCGGUAAUGUUCGCAGUCUGCAGUGGUACCGUCAGCAUCCCGGAUCCAAACCUGAAAAUAUAAUGUUUUACACUGAGAGCAGCAAUCAUUCAGAGCCUAAGCUUCGUCUGUACGCUGUGGCUGAUAAAGGAAACAAACUUAUGAAUCUGAGCAUAUCUUCAACACAAAUGAAUGAUUCUGCUCUGUACUACUGUGCUCUGCAGCCCACAGUGACAGGAAACACAACUGCACUGAACAAAAACAGACAGUAAGGACACACACUGUAAUUAGACAAAGUGACAUGACAUACAGCCAAGUAUGGUGAGCCCUACUCAGAAUUCGUGCUCUGCAUUUAACCAAUCCAAAGUGCACACGCACACACAGCAGUGAACACACACCCGGAGCAGUGGGCAGUCAGUUAUGGAGCAGUUGGGGGUUCAGUGCCUUGCUCAAGGACACCUCAGUCAUGGUACUGCUGGCCCAAGACUCAAACCCACAACCCAAGGGUUAGGAAUCAAAUUCUAACAACUAUGCCACAACUUCCCCUAAUUAGUAAAAACAUUACAAAGAUGUACCAAUGAGUAAAAUAAGGACACAUUAGAAAAAGGAUAAUUAAGAGAACUGCUAACUGUACAUCAACCAGUGUAAAGAUAUUUCAAACUUUUGGUACAGUACUUUAACAUUGUAUAUUUUCCACAUAGCUAAUUGUCAAAAAGAAUCAUUCUAUUUUAGAGUUUAUCAUCAGUUAAUGUACACACUGCUACUCAUCUAAUCUAAUUGGAUUGUCAUCAGACCAAAUAAAACAUCUGUAGUUUUAACGUGAAGGAAUCCACACCACUCUGUCUGUCCUGUUCAUAUGUUCAUGAGUUUCUGUUGCUGAUUGUUGAGUCUUCUAAUUAUGUCAUGAGAGCUGAGCAUCCUCAUCCACAUCUGUCCAUCAGACUCCGUAAUGAUGAAAGUGUGGAUCUGGAGUCGUCUUCUGCUGCUGUAUCAGACUCUGUCAGGUAUUACUGUGCCCUGCAGACCAGUGAAAGGAAAACAAACUACACUGGACAAAAACUUUAUCUUGCAUAUCGCAUAAUCAGAU